rnacentral:misc_RNA from 1 species
GGAAGGAUCAUUAACACUAAUCCAAUCAUCUCAACCAAGCCUUCUGUUGCAGCUUCAGUGCUAGCUAGCGAAAGCAGGCGUGCUACUGUUGCUGCAUCAAACAAACCUAAUCACACAAAGGAGCAUAACUAAGCUCUUAACCUAAAACCAAAUUCUCAACGAUGGAUAUCUUGGUUCCCAUAACGAUGAAGAACGCAGCGAAGUGCGAUAAGCAAUGCGAAUUGCAGAACCGUGAGUCAUCAGAUUUUUGAACGCAUCUGGCGCCGGCUGGGUCUCCAGUCGGCAUGCUUGUUUCAGUGUCUUGUUCUCUCAUCACCCAAAUCUUAAUGCUGGAGAUACCCUUCUCUAGCUAAGCAUGAAAGCGCUCUGUACUCUGCGAGUAGCUUCGACCUAGUCGAUGGCUUACGCUCAAUGCAGCCGUCACAUUGCUUCAAUGUGAACUCAUUGAGAGCGGAGGCAGUGCAGCAUUAGCUGCCAGUGCUUAGACACUCAAACUUUACUUGCAUCUGAAAUCAAGCAGGAUCACCCGCUGAACUUAAGCAUAUCACUAAGCGGAGGAAAAGAAAUUAACUAAGAUUGCCUCAGUAACGGCGAGUGAAGCGGCAAGAGCCCAGAGUGGAAAUCUUCACACUGCGUGUGACGAAUUGUAAUCUAUAGGUCUUUCACUCAACGGGCGGUGGCGCAGAAGUGACUUCGAACGGUCCGCCAGAGAGGGUGACAGCCCCGUAUGUGGUGCCACUGCUUAACGAGUGUUGGAUUGAAGAGUCGGGUUGUUUUGUAUUGCAGCCCUAAGUGGGAGAUAAACUUCUUCUAAGGCUAAAUACCUAUGGGAAACCGAUAGCGAACAAGUACUGUGAAGGAAAGAUGAAAAGAACUUUGAAAAGAGAGUCAAAAGACUUGAAAUCGUUGAGAAGGAA